rnacentral:rRNA from 1 species
UGGAUUGUCCUUUGGACAAUGGUAGGAGAGCGUUCUAAGGGCGUUGAAGCAUGAUCGCAAGGACAUGUGGAGCGCUUAGAAGUGAGAAUGCCGGUGUGAGUAGCGAAAGACGGGUGAGAAUCCCGUCCACCGAUUGACUAAGGUUUCCAGAGGAAGGCUCGUCCGCUCUGGGUUAGUCGGGUCCUAAGCUGAGGCCGACAGGCGUAGGCGAUGGAUAACAGGUUGAUAUUCCUGUACCACCUAUAAUCGUUUUAAUCGAUGGGGGGACGCAGUAGGAUAGGCGAAGCGUGCGAUUGGAUUGCACGUCUAAGCAGUAAGGCUGAGUAUUAGGCAAAUCCGGUACUCGUUAAGGCUGAGCUGUGAUGGGGAGAAGACAUUGUGUCUUCGAGUCGUUGAUUUCACACUGCCGAGAAAAGCCUCUAGAUAGAAAAUAGGUGCCCGUACCGCAAACCGACACAGGUAGUCAAGAUGAGAAUUCUAAGGUGAGCGAGCGAACUCUCGUUAAGGAACUCGGCAAAAUGACCCCGUAACUUCGGGAGAAGGGGUGCUCUUUAGGGUUAACGCCCAGAAGAGCCGCAGUGAAUAGGCCCAAGCGACUGUUUAUCAAAAA